AUGACCGGCGCUGCCCCCGCCCUCCUCCACCACCACGGAGUUUCAAGCAGAGGAACAUUACCUGUCUAUCAUGGCAAUUGCAGAUUCGUCCCAGGAUCUUGUUUCCUCAGCAAAUCAACUAUUUUGGGACCAUUGACUGUGUCUUUGGUUUGUGGUGCUACCCCCAACAACCAUAGACCAAGGAAUCCAGAUAUCUCACGACAACAGAAGAGGGGUUCAUCAUCAAGGGGGAAAAGCAAGCCAUUCCAAGAAAGGGACGACUCUGAGAAUAAUGAUGAAUUUGAUAGCGAUACAGUAUCCUCCAAAAAUGGACCACCUAUAUCUUUGACAAGCAACACGCGUCCCCAUGCAACAUCAGCUCCAGGGGAAAGGGAAAAGGAGAUUGUAGAGCUAUUUAAAAGGGUGCAAGCACAACUGCGAGCGAGGGGAAAAGGCAGGGAGGACAAGAAGCCUGAACCUGCAAAAUCCCAGGGUGAGAGGGGAAGUGUGGAUUCCCUUCUUAAUUUGCUCAGGAAACACUCGGUGGACCAAAAACGAAAGAGCGGCGAUGAGAAAGAGCAGAAUUUUGAUCAGACAUGGAGAAGCAGUGAUUCUGGAAACAAGCAAAGUUCAAGGAUAUUUGGCACGAAGAACGACGCCCAGGAAGGGCAGAAGCCACCUCCUGCAACCUUCCAGAGACCGCCUUCAAGCUUCAGGCGAAGAUCUCCUGUCCCUGGGGUCAAGUUCCAGCUUGUUACCAAUCCAGAUGCUGAUGCCAAGCCUGUCGUCAAUGGCAUGACCGAUGCUGUGCUGAAAGUCAAGACGCCACUGGAGGAGGAGACUGCUCAAGAUGAACCUGAUUCAGUCUCCCCGUACGAACCCGACUCUGUGAUAGCACCAGAAGAUGCAUCUCUGGACGACUUUGUUGUCUCAGACGACGAUUCAGACGUGCUGGACACCGAUGAACCCGAAGAUUAUCUGGAACCAUUGGAUGAUGCUGAUGACGUUACAGAUAGCAUCCCAUCCCAUGUUGACAGUCUGGAAGGUAGUCCUUCCGCAGAAGCUUCCGACCUGAGCUCGCUCAAGGUGACGGAGCUGAGGGAGCUGGCGAAAUCUCGGGGACUCCGGGGUUACUCGAAGAUGAAGAAGAGCGACCUGGUCGCGCUACUGAGCGACGUGUCCUGA
rnacentral:rRNA from 1 species